rnacentral:rRNA from 1 species
UACGGAGGGUGCAAGCGUUGCUCGGAAUUAUUGGGCGUAAAGGGCAGGUAGGUGGUCCGAUUUGUCUGGGGUGAAAUCCCAGGGCUUAACCCUGGAAGUGCCCAGAAACGGUCGGACUCGAGUGCUGGAGAGGGUCGUGGAAGUUCCCGGUGUAGCGGUGAAAUGCGUAGAGAUCGGAAAGAACACCAACGGCGAAAGCACUCUGCUGGGCCGACACUGACACUGAGAGACGAAAGCUAGGGGAGCGAAUGGG